AGAGAGGGGACCCCUUUUACUACAGGGCACACAGCCGGCUGAGCCAGGACCCACCACACUCAACUCCCCGGCCCCUGGCUCCCAGGAGGUGGCUCCUCCAUGGCCGGGAAGGACCCCCACGGCUGCUCCCGCAGGCAGAUGGACAGACGAUGGCCCCCUCCCACGGCCUGCGGGCUGUGUGGCAUCGCCACCUCCUCCCGAGCAGGCUGCCUUUAAGAAACCAGAAGAUUGAUUUCCUGGCAGGCUCUACGCCGAGGAGCCCGUCCAAAUGGUUUGCAUGUCUGCAUUUUUUACUGCUCCGUUUAAUAUGUAUGCAAAUGCCGGCCGGCUGCGCCCGCCGCGCGGCUGCACAGUCACACGCGGCGCCCCAUUAAAGCGGCCGUCCCGGGCGCGCGCCUCAUUCGAGGCGACGGGCUCCGGGCCCUGAUAGAUGGGGUGCGGGGACGGAGACAAAUGACGGCCUUUGUAAUUUCUUUUCUCUCUUUUUCCGGGGGAGGGGGAACUCGCAGAGGAGAUUUAAAUAUAUGCAAAAUUGUUUGCGGGCUGGGGGUGGGGCGGAAACCUGAAAGGGGCGGCGGGGGGAGGAGCUGGUGUGUUCCUGGUGGGAGUCGGGCUGGAGGCAGGAGGGGAGCCGGGCCCCCACAGUCACCUUCUGGCGGAGACAGCCGAGCGAGCCGCUCUGCUCCUGAUAAGCAGGCCCGGUCCUCUGGGAAGCGUGGGCUUCAGCCGCAGAGAAAAGGAAAAUGCUGGUUAUUUUCGGCCCCGUUACACGCGGGAAGCCGGGGAUGGUGGUUUUUCCCCCAUCGCACCACCGCUUUCUUUUCUUGGGCUUCCAGGGCUUAUAACUUAAUUGGUACGGUGUCAUUUAAGUUUCGCAUUAGCCCAUGAAGUGGGUCCCGGGUUCACACCCAUUGUGCAGAUGGGGAAACUGAGGUUUGCGGGAGUGAAGUCCCUUGGGGAGGGUUGCAGAGAGAGUGGGUGGGGAUUGGGUCCCUCCAGAGCCCUGUCUUUGAUCCCCACGGCCCUCUGCUGUCUCUCUGGCUCUCAGCGGUGGGGUGUCCGCGUGCCUGCCUGUGCCCCAAAUCUGCCCGGGCUCGCCCCAUACCACGAGCCAGCCCCCUCCUCCUGCCUGCCCCCACGCGCGCCAGGUGACAGGCCCACAGCCCAGCGAGCUGGGGGACUGAGCCUCACAUUUUCCAAAUAUUGCUUAAGCCUAAAAUCCGAAGUGCUGGUUUUAAAGGAAUCUUUCCUAAUUUGUCAGGAUUUUAGGCCACAUGGCAGCUGGGGGCAGAAACAUUUCUGAGAGGAGGCUCCAGCCUCAGGAGAGACCCACCGUGGAGCAGACCACUCAGACCCACCGGAGACCCAGAGUUACACACUGCUGUGUCCGUGUGUGCGCGCCUGUGUCCGUGUGUGCUUGGGUGUGUCGUGUCAUUGUGAGUGUGCUGGUGUGUGUGCACCAGUGGGAGUAGGGGAGUGUAUAUUAGUGCAUGUGUGAGUUUCAGUGUGUAUGUGUUAGUGUGUUACGGGAAAGGGGUCCUGAUCCAGACCCCAAGAGAGGGUUCUUGGAUCUCGCGCAAGAAAUAAUUCAGGAUGAGUCCACAGUGAAAAGCAAAAGCAAGUUUAUUAAGAAAGUACAAGGGAUUGGGCGCGGUGGCUCGCACCUGUAAUCCCAGCACUCUAGGAGGCCGAGGAGGGCAGAUCAACUGAGGUCAGGAGUUUGAGACCAGCCUGGCCAACAUAUAGUGAAACCCUGUCUCUACUAAAAAUAC
rnacentral:lncRNA from 1 species